rnacentral:misc_RNA from 1 species
AAGUCGUAACAAGGUUUCCGUAGGUGAACCUGCGGAGGGAUCAUUAACACGUAUCCACGUAUCAACCAACUGUGAACUUGUUUUCAAUCGCCCUGCCGUCUACAUGAAUUGAAGGAGUGAAGAUAAUGAAAUGGGAACUUCGGUUCAGUCUUCAUUCCUAGCUUGUGCCUUCGGGUACAGACAAUUGUAGUAUGUCGGUCAGGCCAACCCUUUCUGCUUGAAACUUCUCCUUUCAUGAAGUAUCAAGUGGGAUAUUAAACACCUAUUUCACCCCCUUUUUGCUAGUUGACUUUUAUAUGUUGUCUUCUUCGUACUUCAUUGUAUGACGAAUUCACACGUUUAUUAAUUGAACGUUAAAUGUACAACUCUUAGCAAUGGAUAUCUUGGUUCUC